AUUGGCAUGUCUAUUGAUCUCAUAUGAUUUUGAAAUUGACAUGUACAUGAAAACGGUUUGAAAGUACUAUGUACGUUGCUUUCCUAGUUGGAGAAUUAUCUUUUGCUUCACUGUCAAAGGCUUGCUUCUGGGCGUAAAUUUGCAGCUCGCGUAGCAGCAUAGCCAUAGUGAAGAGUAUAUAAAUCGCUCUAAGAUGAUGACAUGGUGUAUUUUGUGGUUCAGAGUAAAUGGAUUUGUUGAAGGUGGUAAAUAUUAUCACAUUCAGUUGAGUGAUAAACUAUGUUGCAUGGAUUCAAAGACAACACAAUGAGGGACUUGGAGAGCUACAUGAUGCUACAACUCUUAAAAAAGGGGGACACGGACAUGGCGGGGUACAUGAAAAUUUUCUAUUUCUGUUAUCGGUUAUGCAAACCUAAAUUUAGUCGCUAAAUAAUUAAGUUAGGACUUCUAUAGAGUGCAUUAUAGACUGAUUGUACAAGCCUAUACAUACAUCUAUAUAUGUAUA